CAAAGGCAUGGUCCCAGCCUUAUUAUCAGCCCUAGCUCAGCUUACACAUGCAAGUAUCCGCAGCCCAGUGAAUAUACCCUCAUCCCACCAACCUGGUAAGAGGAGCAGGCAUCAGGCACAUUAUACUAGCCCAAGACGCCUAGCCUAGCCACACCCCCAAGGGAAUUCAGCAGUGAUAGAUUUUAAGCCAUAAGUGAAAACUUGACUCAGUUAGAGCUAAGAGAGCCGGUUAAACUCGUGCCAGCCACCGCGGUUAGACGAGAGGCCCAAGUUGAUUAUCCAACGGCGUAAAGGGUGGUUAGGGACAAAAAACAAUAAAGCCGAAUGGCCCCUUGGCCGUCAUACGCUUCUAGGUGUCCGAAGCCCUAUUUUAUACGAAAGUAGCUUUAAUAAUAUCCCGACCCCACGAAAGUUAAGAAACAAACUGGGAUUAGAUACCCCACUAUGCUUAACCAUAAACUUAGACAUCCAACCACAAUAAGAUGCCCGCCAGGGUACUACGAGCACCAGCUUAAAACCCAAAGGACCUGACGGUGUCUCAGAUCCACCUAGAGGAGCCUGUUCUAUAACCGAUAACCCCCGUUAAACCUUACCACUUUUAGUCACCCCAGCCUAUAUACCGCCGUCGUCAGCUUACCCUGUGAAGGCAGCAAAAGUAAGCAAAAUGGGUACAACCAAAACGUCAGGUCGAGGUGUAGCGCAUGAAGUGAAAGAAAUGGGCUACAUUUUCUUAUUUCAGAACACACGAAUAUACACCAUGAAAUGGUGUUUAAAGGAGGAUUUAGCAGUAAAAAGGAAACAGAGUGUCCAUUUGAACCUGGCUCUGAGACGCGUACACACCGCCGUCACUCUCCCCGUAACAAAACGCACAAAAUAUAUAAUAUAAUAGUACAAAAACUAGGGGGAGGCAAGUCGUAACAUGGGUAAGUGCACCGGAAGGUGCACUUGGACUAAACC
rnacentral:ncRNA from 1 species